CUACACACGUGCUACAAUGGUGGUAACAAAGGGAAGCGAAGCCGCGAGGUGGAGCAAACCCCAUAAAAGCCAUCCCAGUUCGGAUUGUAGUCUGCAACUCGACUACAUGAAGUUGGAAUUCGCUAGUAAUCGCGAAUCAGAAUGUCGCGGUGAAUACGUUCCCGGGCCUU
rnacentral:rRNA from 1 species